rnacentral:rRNA from 1 species
GGGUUGUGAGGUUAAGCGACUAAGCGUACACGGUGGAUGCCCUGGCAGUCAGAGGCGAUGAAGGACGUGCUAAUCUGCGAUAAGCGUCGGUAAGGUGAUAUGAACCGUUAUAACCGGCGAUUUCCGAAUGGGGAAACCCAGUGUGWUUCGWCACACUAUCAUUAACUGAAUCCAUAGGUUAAUGAGGCGAACCGGGGGAACUGAAACAUCUAAGUACCCCGAGGAAAAGAAAUCAACCGAGAUUCCCCCAGUAGCGGCGAGCGAACGGGGAGSAGCCCAGAGCCUGAAUCAGUGUGUGUGUUAGUGGAAGCGUCUGGAAAGGCGCGCGAUACAGGGUGACAGCCCCGUACACAAAAAUGCACAURCUGUGAGCUCGAUGAGUAGGGCGGGACACGUGGUAUCCUGUCUGAAUAUGGGGGGACCAUCCUCCAAGGCUAAAUACUCCUGACUGACCGAUAGUGAACCAGUACCGUGAGGGAAAGGCGAAAAGAACCCCGGCGAGGGGAGUGAAAAAGAACCUGAAACCGUGUACGUACAAGCAGUGGGAGCACKCUUHGGCGUGUGACUGCGUACCUUUUGUAUAAUGGGUCAGCGACUUAUAUUCUGUAGCAAGGUUAACCGAAUAGGGGAGCCGAAGGGAAACCGAGUCUUAACUGGGCGUUAAGUUGCAGGGUAUAGACCCGAAACCCGGUGAUCUAGCCAUGGGCAGGUUGAAGGUUGGGUAACACUAACUGGAGGACCGAACCGACUAAUGUUGAAAAAUUAGCGGAUGACUUGUGGCUGGGGGUGAAAGGCCAAUCAAACCGGGAGAUAGCUGGUUCUCCCCGAAAGCUAUUUAGGUAGCGCCUCGUGAAUUCAUCUCCGGGGGUAGAGCACUGUUUCGGCAAGGGGGUCAUCCCGACUUACCAACCCGAUGCAAACUGCGAAUACCGGAGAAUGUUAUCACGGGAGACACACGGCGGGUGCUAACGUCCGUCGUGAAGAGGGAAACAACCCAGACCGCCAGCUAAGGUCCCAAAGUCAUGGUUAAGUGGGAAACGAUGUGGGAAGGCCCAGACAGCCAGGAUGUUGGCUUAGAAGCAGCCAUCAUUUAAAGAAAGCGUAAUAGCUCACUGGUCGAGUCGGCCUGCGCGGAAGAUGUAACGGGGCUAAACCAUGCACCGAAGCUGCGGCAGCGACGCUUAUGCGUUGUUGGGUAGGGGAGCGUUCUGUAAGCCUGCGAAGGUGUGCUGUGAGGCAUGCUGGAGGUAUCAGAAGUGCGAAUGCUGACAUAAGUAACGAUAAAGCGGGUGAAAAGCCCGCUCGCCGGAAGACCAAGGGUUCCUGUCCAACGUUAAUCGGGGCAGGGUGAGUCGACCCCUAAGGCGAGGCCGAAAGGCGUAGUCGAUGGGAAACAGGUUAAUAUUCCUGUACUUGGUGUUACUGCGAAGGGGGGACGGAGAAGGCUAUGUUGGCCGGGCGACGGUUGUCCCGGUUUAAGCGUGUAGGCUGGUUUUCCAGGCAAAUCCGGAAAAUCAAGGCUGAGGCGUGAUGACGAGGCACUACGGUGCUGAAGCAACAAAUGCCCUGCUUCCAGGAAAAGCCUCUAAGCAUCAGGUAACAUCAAAUCGUACCCCAAACCGACACAGGUGGUCAGGUAGAGAAUACCAAGGCGCUUGAGAGAACUCGGGUGAAGGAACUAGGCAAAAUGGUGCCGUAACUUCGGGAGAAGGCACGCUGAUAUGUAGGUGAAGYGAYUURCUCRUGGAGCUGAAAUCAGUCGAAGAUACCAGCUGGCUGCAACUGUUUAUUAAAAACACAGCACUGUGCAAACACGAAAGUGGACGUAUACGGUGUGACGCCUGCCCGGUGCCGGAAGGUUAAUUGAUGGGGUCAGCGCAAGCGAAGCUCUUGAUCGAAGCCCCGGUAAACGGCGGCCGUAACUAUAACGGUCCUAAGGUAGCGAAAUUCCUUGUCGGGUAAGUUCCGACCUGCACGAAUGGCGUAAUGAUGGCCAGGCUGUCUCCACCCGAGACUCAGUGAAAUUGAACUCGCUGUGAAGAUGCAGUGUACCCGCGGCAAGACGGAAAGACCCCGUGAACCUUUACUAUAGCUUGACACUGAACAUUGAGCCUUGAUGUGUAGGAUAGGUGGGAGGCUUWGAAGUGUGGACGCCAGUCUGCAUGGAGCCGACCUUGAAAUACCACCCUUUAAUGUUUGAUGUUCUAACGUUGACCCGUAAUCCGGGUUGCGGACAGUGUCUGGUGGGUAGUUUGACUGGGGCGGUCUCCUCCUAAAGAGUAACGGAGGAGCACGAAGGUUGGCUAAUCCUGGUCGGACAUCAGGAGGUUAGUGCAAUGGCAUAAGCCAGCUUGACUGCGAGCGUGACGGCGCGAGCAGGUGCGAAAGCAGGUCAUAGUGAUCCGGUGGUUCUGAAUGGAAGGGCCAUCGCUCAACGGAUAAAAGGUACUCCGGGGAUAACAGGCUGAUACCGCCCAAGAGUUCAUAUCGACGGCGGUGUUUGGCACCUCGAUGUCGGCUCAUCACAUCCUGGGGCUGAAGUAGGUCCCAAGGGUAUGGCUGUUCGCCAUUUAAAGUGGUACGCGAGCUGGGUUUAGAACGUCGUGAGACAGUUCGGUCCCUAUCUGCCGUGGGCGCUGGAGAACUGAGGGGGGCUGCUCCUAGUACGAGAGGACCGGAGUGGACGCAUCACUGGUGUUCGGGUUGUCAUGCCAAUGGCACUGCCCGGUAGCUAAAUGCGGAAGAGAUAAGUGCUGAAAGCAUCUAAGCACGAAACUUGCCCCGAGAUGAGUUCUCCCUGACCCUUUAAGGGUCCUGAAGGAACGUUGAAGACGACGACGUUGAUAGGCCGGGUGUGUAAGCGCAGCGAUGCGUUGAGCUAACCGGUACUAAUGAACCGUGAGGCUUAACCUUACAACGCCGAAG